rnacentral:rRNA from 1 species
GAUGAACGCUGGCGGCGUGCCUAAUACAUGCAAGUCGAGCGGACGGGCGAGAAGCUUGCUGCUCUGAUGUUAGCGGCGGACGGGUGUGUAACACGUGUAUAACCUACCUAUAAGUGGGGGAUAACUUCGGGAAACCGGGGCUAAUCCGGGAGAAUAUUUUGAACCGCAGGGGGCAAAAGUGAGAGACGGUCUUGCGGUCACUUAUAGAUGGAUCCGCGCUGGAUGAGGUAGUUGGUGAGGUAACGGGUUACCAAGGCAACGAUGCAUAGCCGAGCGGUUAGGGUGAUAGGCCACAUGGGAACUGGGACAGGCACCAGGCUACUACGGGAGGCAGCAGUAGCGAAUCGUACGCAAUGGGCGGAAGCCUGACGGAGCAACGGCGAGCGAGUGAUGAAGGUCCUCGGAUCGUAAAACCCUGUUAUUAGGGAAGAACAUAUUUGUAAGUAACUGUGCACAGCGUGACGGUAACUAAUCAGAAAGCAACGGCUAACUACGUG